rnacentral:rRNA from 1 species
GAAAAGAAACUAACAAGGAUUCCCCUAGUAACGGCGAGUGAAGCGGGAAGAGCUCAAAUUUGAAAUCUGGUAGCCUUCGGUUGCCCGAGUUGUAAUCUAGAGAAGUGUUUUCCGUGCCGGCCCAUGUACAAGUCCCUUGGAACAGGGCGUCAUAGAGGGUGAGAAUCCCGUCCUUGACAUGGACCCCCGGUGCUUUGUGAUACACUUUCAACGAGUCGAGUUGUUUGGGAAUGCAGCUCAAAAUGGGUGGUGAAUUCCAUCUAAAGCUAAAUAUUGGCGAGAGACCGAUAGCGAACAAGUACCGUGAGGGAAAGAUGAAAAGCACUUUGGAAAGAGAGUUAAACAGUACGUGAAAUUGUUGAAAGGGAAACGAUUGAAGUCAGUCAUGCUCUUAGGAUUCAGCCGUUCUGCGGUGUAUUUCCUUUGAGUGGGGUCAACAUCAGUUUUGAUCGAUGGAUAAAGGCACGAGGAAGGUAGCACUCUCGGGUGAACUUAUAGCCUCGCGUCAUAUACAUUGAUUGGGACUGAGGAACGCAGCAUGCCUUUAUGGCCGGGAUUCGUCCACGUACAUGCUUAGG